UAAGGAAUAUUGGUCAAUGGACGAAAGUCUGAACCAGCCAUGCCGCGUGAAGGAUUAAGGCCCUCUGGGUUGUAAACUUCUUUUAUCUGGGACGAAAAAAGGGUAUUCUUACUCACUUGACGGUACCAGAGGAAUAAGCACCGGCUAACUCCGUGCCAGCAGCCGCGGUAAUACGGAGGGUGCAAGCGUUAUCCGGAUUUACUGGGUUUAAAGGGUGCGUAGGUGGGCUUGUAAGUCAGUGGUGAAAUCUCCGGGCUUAACCCGGAAACUGCCAUUGAUACUAUAGGUCUUGAAUUAUCUGGAGGUAAGCGGAAUAUGUCAUGUAGCGGUGAAAUGCUUAGAUAUGACAUAGAACACCAAUUGCGAAGGCAGCUUACUACGGAUAUAUUGACACUGAGGCACGAAAGCGUGGGGAUCAAACA
rnacentral:rRNA from 1 species